ACGGCAAAUAGGUAAUUUUGAAUGGAUAUUUAUAAUUAGAGGAGUGCUUUGUCGUCAACGUACUCAAAGAGAGGAAUCGAAAUCACCAAGGUGUUCUACUCGGGAACAAACUACAAAAGCCAACCACCUCUGCAAAGCUCGCGGAUCUUUCGGUAAUAAGGGAAAGACAGGGAAUGCAAUUAGCACUUGCAAAUAUAGAAAGGUUCCUACCCUGAAGUACGAACGUUGGCUGCUAAACUUUUUAUUAUAAAAAUUGCUUAUUAAUUAGA